ACCCGACUCCGUGAAGCUGGAUUCGCUAGUAAUCGCGCAUCAGCCAUGGCGCGGUGAAUACGUUCCCGGGCCUUGUACACACCGCCCGUCAAGCCAUGGAAGCUGGGGGUGCCUGAAGUUCGUGACCGGAAGGAGCGACCUAGGGCAAAACCGGUGACUGGGGCUAAGUCGUAACAAGGUAAC
rnacentral:rRNA from 1 species